rnacentral:misc_RNA from 1 species
GAAAUGCGAUAAGUAGUGUGAAUUGCAGAAUUCAGUGAAUCAUCGAAUCUUUGAACGCACAUUGCGCCCCUUGGUAUUCCAUGGGGCAUGCCUGUUCGAGCGUCAUUUGUACCCUCAAGCUCUGCUUGGUGUUGGGUGUUUGUCCCCGUCUCCGCGCGUGGACUCGCCCCAAAGUGAUUGGCAGCCGGCGUACUGGUCCCGGAGCGCAGCACAUGUCGCGCAAACGAGUGCCUUGGUACGACGGCGUCCAUAAGCCCCUCUCUCACGCUCUUGACCUCGGAUCAGGUAGGGAUACCCGCUGAACUUAAGC